rnacentral:lncRNA from 1 species
AUGGAGGACGAAAUGUCCAGCUCGGUUGCUUGGCAGAUAGGGAGGAGGAAGCCUGAGGACCUGGAUGAAAAUUUUAGCUGUGUUGACCUCGGAGAAUCUCAGCGUGUCCUUGUUAUGCUCCGUACUAGUUGUAGACUCCAGAACAAGACUUCGACGUCAGAUACGCUUGGGUUGGAAAUCCUCCUUCCGCUUCUCGCAUCAACACAAGGGGUGCACGUUCUUGUGCAACCAAGUCCCAGAUCAAGAUCAAUCAAUCAAAUAUUGCCAGCAUUCCGGGUGCCUUCCGUGCGUCGGCUGACUCGUCACCUCUCCUCGCCUUCGCACGAGAUAACAUUCUUCUAA